UUUUCCAGCUUGUUCCUAUAGCAUGAAGGAGGACAGAGACAUAAAUGGCGCAUUACCUAGAGGAAUGUUUGGAAGCUUGCUUUCUCUGAAAAUAUUUGCAUGUUGUAUAUUUGUGCAUUUCCUGACACCUGAUCUUAAACCUGAUAACUGGUUACUGUUGAUGGAAGGAAAGAAACAGUGAAGUGCAUGAAGGAACUAUGGGUCUUUCUAGUUUUCACCACACCCCUCUUGCAAGCUGAAUUUCAACUGGCCAGUAGCACUAUGUAGAGACUGGACUAGAUCUUUUUUAAAUGAUUUUGUGAUAUUUUCUCAUAGAAAAUGGCAAAGAACAUGCACAGUGUAAAAAAAAAGACUACUGGUAUAAGAAACAAUACUUUGAAAAAAUAUACGCUCUAUAUAAAAGCUUCUAUUGCUUUCUACAAUUCAGUUAUUACAGAUAAUAGUAGAGGAUGUAAUUUGAAAUGAAGCUUAUUCCAACCUUCUGAUUAAAUGUCCAAGUUUAGUCGAGGUAAAAAUGAAGUCUGGAUUUUAUAAAUAAAGUUUUACAACCACACUACUAUUAGAAAUUU
rnacentral:lncRNA from 1 species